UGUAAGCGUAUACCAAAGUUGUUGCAGUUAAAACGCUCGUAGUCGGAAUUUGGCAGUUCCGGAUGUGUGCACGUCGUGUGCGCACUUCGCGGGGAUUGCUUUUGUGGUCUUGCGUAGGAUGAGGCACUUUUAUUAGUGAACGACCUCACGCAACCACUUUUUACUGUGAGAAAAUCAGAGUGCUCAAAGCAGGCAUUUGCCGUGAAUGUAUUAGCAUGGAAUAAUAGAAUAGGACUUGGUUCUAUUUUGUUGGUUUGUUGGGACUGAGUAAUGAUUAAGAGGGACAGUUGGGGGCAUUUGUAUUUCGGUGCUAGAGGUGAAAUUCUUAGAUUACCGAAAGACAAACUGCUGCGAAAGCGUCUGCCAAGGAUGUUUUCAUUGA
rnacentral:rRNA from 1 species